CGAUACUAUCUGAUUUUUAGUUGACAAUAUCCAUAUAAUAAGGAGCUAAAAAUCAUAAAAGUUGGAGAUACAGCCGGAAAAAUGCCCCGUUUUGACGCCGCGCGCGCGGCACGCUAUUUCGAAGGCCGCCCGGCGGAGAUGCAAUUUUCAACUCAAAAGCCACAAGCCGCCGUGCAUCGGAGAACUCUGGGAAUGAUUCCAGGUGAAAGGGCAGAGAUCAAGGUUCACUCCAGUGGUUGCACAAUUUUGCUACGUCAUUCCUGGCGGAAGUUAUGGGCCAGAGUAGGGAAACCUCCGAAAUUGACACAAAAGGGACAUAUCCUGGGCAGAUCAGCGGAAACAGCAAAAUAGAGACUUGUCAAAACUGCUCACCAGAGACAAGGCUGCAGACACCGAGACAACAGAUCAAGUUUAGACACGACAUGUUUGGAGUUGCAAUAAUUGGUGACGAACAUUGAAAGUUAUUUGAUCUUAUUGUUUUGAUUUUU